CCGGGCUGGGGAGAAGAGUGCUGUGGGGCUACCAAAAAGCUUUGUUCAACCCCAAACGAAGCAUUUUAUGCCRGUUAUUUUGGCUAUCAAAAAGCAGSAGGAAUUUUACAGCCCCUUCGAAGCAUGGACAAAAAAUGCUUUAUUUUAGAAAAAUGCACUGACGUGUUUUGUUUCAACAGUUGCAAGAGGGUUUUUUUCUCCCCCUUUUUCCUGCUGCAUUGGAAACCGUUUGACACGAGCCAACUUUGCAAACUCACCACCGCCGCGGCAAUGCCCCCGGUUCUGCUGGGGGGUCGCGGGCAGCGAAGCCGGCGGAGGGGUGCRCGGGCCGGGAACGCCGGGAGCGGCAGCAUCCACCGCACAUGCACGGGAUGCCCGGGGCUUCCCGGAGUUUAAGUGACCCGUGGGCGCACGUGCCGUGAUUGACGCCUGUGGCGGGGACACACGUGCCGUGUUGUGCWGCCAAAAAUCCCGCAUCAAAUACAGACAAUCCUGUUUGGGCAAGAUUUCUAGGUGGGAAAUUUCCCACCCCCCGCUCCCAARGUCUGGAUAUACAGUGGUGGCAGGGUGCUGGAGCUGCUUUUUGGCUGCGGGGCUGUUGCUAACCGGUGUCUCUGCCUGCACAGGAGCGACUCGAGGAGCCUCGGCGCGGGAGCGCUCUGCUGCGCCGGCGACGGGAGCAAAUCCAGCGGCACUGGGCUGCUCCGGGGAGGACAAAGGCGGGCAGUGUUUUCCGCCCGGAUUCGGAGCGGGUGGCAGGUCCUGCCGGUGCCCGUGCCCUCUCCCUGCCACGCAGCUCCCAGGCUKCUCUGCCGGAUGGCACUUGCUCAUCUCAGCCGCCACCGCUCCUGGCGCUUGGGGACAUGUUAAAAAAUCCCUUUGGGACAGUGUCAUCCCUCUUGCAGCCCCAAAUCAGCCUCUUGCUUUGAAAAACCUUCCCGCCUGGAAACGGCCCCCAGGCCUCUCGGUUGCCCAUCUCCUCCCCAUCCGUGCCAGGAAUCGGCCCAUCGUGGGGUCCAGCCCCACCAGCACUGAGAAGGGGCCGAAAAUUAAUCGCUCGUUGCAGGACACUGGGAAGGGACACAUGAAAGUCCCGCUGGAUUUCUGCCGUCUCCUCCAAACUGAGUUUGCCCUGGGGACGCCGCAGGGACUCUUACAGGUGCCAGGAGGAAUUUCCGAGGAAUCUCCAAUUCGGCAAGGACAUCGUUCCCUCCCGGGACRGCGAGAUGGGGCCGCACUGCGAAGGGAGAGACGCCAGGGGGGUCACCGAGAAAAGGGCCCCUGCCGUCCCCAGCCACGUAAUCGGUUUCCUAUUAAUCUGGCUUUUUAUUAUUAUUAUUAUUGUUAUUAUUAUUAAACAUCUCUCUUCUCCCAAAUCAUCUCAGAGCUGUGGCGAGGUCCCUGGUAAUAGCUCCAUAAAUUUCAGCCAUAAAAAGUAAUGGAGGGAGACAAAUGAGAUAAUUAGGAAUAAAUCUUGGCRAGGUCUCUAUUCA
rnacentral:lncRNA from 1 species